CAUUUAAACAUGGAACUUAGGACACAACAUUUAUUUAAUAUUAAAUUCAAUAUUUUAAAUCAUACCCUUGUAAUCUUAAACGUAUUUCAGCUAUUUCGGCUGCUAGUUUUAAGAAAUAAAUCAUCUAUCUAUAUAUAUAUACAAACGAAAAGUACUGUAAGUUCAAGAGAAAUGAUGAAGCCUAGCCUGCUGUGCAGGUUAGAUGAAACCCAACUACACACACCGACUGACAGUUUAAUAAUUAUAUUGAAAUAUACAUACUGCAUGUGUUAUAAUAUAUGAAAUUACAGUGUUGACUAUUGUAUAUAAAUACAGUGCAUGGUAGUAUAUAAAUACAGGUAGUGUUGGUUAGAACAUGCAUAGUCACAUCAGGGCCUGGUCACAUGCAGACAAGCGUGUCGUACAAGCGUAUCUCAAAUAGGCGUAUCGACAUAAAAAUGGGAGGGGCACUACUUCGCACGACUAAGACGGAAAUUGCCCGACUUUAAGAACCUAACAAUUGACACGUUAGAGAUAGGGACGGACCAUUAUUUUUUUUGAGGGGGGAUGGACAUUUCGUCAACACAAACAAUUUUUUUGGUGUUGUCGUUGCAAAUAAUUUUUUUGUACCUGCUUCCUUCUGCAAACAAUUUUUUUUGUCCAUCUGAUUGCUAUGGAUUUCAUUAUAAAUUGAUAUAUAUAGUUUAAUUUGUGCCCGAUUACACUAUUGCAUGUGUGAUCGAACAACAUGUGUUGUCAUGUCGAACAGACAAUUAAUAGUUUUUUUGGUAUACUGGUCAGGGCCUUUUUUAAGGAUUUUCCCGUGGGGGGGGGGGGGGAUUUUUUGAAAAGGGACCUUUCUGUGAGAUAAUAUAUUAGAGGGGGAUAGGAAUGGCUGAAGGCCACAGAGUCUGGGGGCAUAUUCCCCCAGAAAUUUUUUUAAAUUUAAAGCCCGGAAAUGCCAUUUCCUGCAUUCUGAGCAUUUAAAUUUGCAGUAAAAUUUAUGCUAAGUAUAGU